rnacentral:rRNA from 1 species
GACGAACGCUAGCGGUGUGCUUAACACAUGCAAGUCGAAGAUAGUGGCGAACGGGUGAGUAAUACGUAGUAACCUGCCCUCGUUUCUGGGAUAAGCCUUGGAAACGGGGUCUAAUACCGAAUAUGAGAGGAUGGGCUCGCGGCGUAUAAGCUGGUUGGUGGGGUGAUGGCCUACCAAGGCGGUGACGGGUAGCCGGUCUGAGAGGGUGACCGGCCACAUUGGGACUGAGACACGGCCCAGACUCCUACGGGAGGCAGCAGUGGGGAAUAUUGGACAAUGGGCGAAAGCCUGAUCCAGCCAUGCCGCGUGUGUGAAGAAGGUCUUCGGAUUGUAAAGCACUUUAGGUUGGGAGGCGUUAUCAGCAGAAUAAGCACCGGCUAACUUCGUGCCAGCAGCCGCGGUAAUUC